rnacentral:lncRNA from 10 species
AGUGCGGCCGUCAUGGCGUCGCCCUUCAGCGGGGCGCUGCAGCUGACGGACCUGGAUGACUUCAUCGGGCCGUCUCAGGAGUGCAUCAAGCCUGUCAAAGUGGAAAAAAGGGCAGGAGAAUGGCGUGAGCCUGGGAGGCGGAGUUUGCAGUGAGCCGAGAUCGCACCACUGCACUCUAGCCUGGGUGACAGAGCGAGACUCCAUCUCAAAAAAAAAAAAAAAAAGAAACUAUUAAAAUUCACCUGUCUGCCAUUUGGACUCUAAAAAACGUCUGCCUGAUCUCAUGAACCACUGCACCAAGAGACGAUUUCCAGCCCAGCACUGGGGGCCCAGCCCACAAACGAAGGGAACCCCUGGAAGGUGCUGGGGUGCUGGUAGGCGUGGCUGUCGGUGCAGUGGCAGUUGGUUUGGAGGAGCCUGUCAGCCUCUGCCCAGCACCCUGUGGCAGGCAAGGCUUUGUGCCUUGGGGCAGAACCAACGUAGGAAUACAAGGCGAGCUCAGAUUGUGAUACACAGGCCUAGCAGAGAGCUGGGCUGCGAGGGGUUCCCACACAGUUCCCACCCAGUCGCCUUACUCCUCUGGCUGUAUUCCG